CAAGUACAUCACAUUCUUAUAUUCUGGAAAAGAAUAGCAGAUAGGCAGACUUCUUAGGGAGACCCUAGAAAUACUCCUCCUGAUUUUAACUUCUUAGAAAGUAAAGAUGGAAAAUAGGAGCCAGUAAUAGCAGCAAAUUAAGUUAUUCCUGAAGAGAUUAAAGUGUUAAUGACCAAGAGUGACACAAAGAGGCAACGUGCACAAAAUCUGGUGGCAGGACUAUUCACCUAAGUACUUUGUUACAUUCUUAGAAAACUCAGGAAGCUAAAGGAAACCAGCAAAUGAAAUCAAGCAUUCAGACUCUGAUUUGAGCAUCUUUCAACCUUACAGAGGACUGGACUCCGUAAGGCGCCUCAGAGGCAGAGCCUUGCAUCUGGAAGAGCACAAGUCAUCAAUAGUUCCUUGGGAAGAUAAGAGGAAUGGACUAUGGAACACUGGGACAAGAAUGACUUUAAAUGAAGGAGGGGUCCUUCAUCAAGAACAAGAAGCAGUAGCAGAAUUGACCAGUGCUUUCUCUUUGCCACAAGGACAACCUUAAGUCAACUUCUGCAGUUCAGCUCCCACCUAGAAACCCCCACCUAGAAAACUACCCCCAGUCAUGUUCACCUACUGCUCCCUCCAACUCAUUUAAUAAUGAGGGCUUCAUAAGAGCUUCACUUCAACUUCUCUCAACAUAUAUGGAGAUACAUAGUUGAUGCAUAACCAUCUGUCACCACCACAUCUACUGCUAUCAUCUCUUGCUGAGAUAUCACCACCACUUACUGGGGUACUGCAAUGGCUUUUAUUAGUCUCCCAAUUUUCUCCUCCGGUCCAGUCUUAACUCACAAGCCAAAGUAAUAUUUUUUUGAACAGAAAUUCAAAGCAUGUUACUACCUUCUUCCAAGUCCUCCUGUGGCUUACCAUCUGAGUUAAAAAUAAGGUCUUCAUAAUGCCCUAUAAUAGUCUCUGCCAUCUGGCUCCUAUUACUCCUCUGACCUCAUCUGCUGCUAUUCCUCCCCUUGCUCAUUCCACUCCAGUAUUACCAGCCUACUUGCUAUUCUUUGAAAGUACCAG
rnacentral:lncRNA from 1 species